rnacentral:ncRNA from 1 species
GUGACCCAGGGAGAAAGCACUCCUCUUGAUUAAGAUGGAAGAGGUCCGCGGGCCUAACAGCAUACAUACAGUUACCUCUGGCAUUGCCACCUACUUUGUGGAAUCUAACCAUUAUUUUGG